rnacentral:rRNA from 1 species
CGAUGGCGGCGCUGUCUCCACCCGAGACUCAGUGAAAUUGAAAUCGCUGUGAAGAUGCAGUGUAUCCGCGGCUAGACGGAAAGACCCCGUGAACCUUUACUAUAGCUUUGCACUGGACUUUGAAUUUGCUUGUGUAGGAUAGGUGGGAGGCUUUGAAGUGGGGACGCCAGUUCUCAUGGAGCCAUCCUUGAAAUACCACCCUGGCAACUUUGAGGUUCUAACUCAGGUCCGUUAUCCGGAUCGAGGACAGUGUAUGGUGGGUAGUUUGACUGGGGCGGUCUCCUCCCAAAGAGUAACGGAGGAGUACGAAGGUGCGCUCAGACCGGUCGGAAAUCGGUCGUAGAGUAUAAAGGCAAAAGCGCGCUUGACUGCGAGACAAACACGUCGAGCAGGUACGAAAGUAGGUCUUAGUGAUCCGGUGGUUCUGU